rnacentral:lncRNA from 1 species
AAUCACCGAGACGUAGAUAUAUAUGAAAUGAACCCUCCAUAACAUUUACUGUUGGAGAACAUCACUCUUACGUGAAAAGAAAGUACGGGUGAAUGAACCGAAAUUUUGACAGUUCAACUUCUAGUUCAUUCUGUGUUAUGGUGAGUUGAAAAAUGGCCGGACGUUGAAAGAAAAAAUGCAAGUUUGACUCCAAGAGCUUCAAAACCGCAUACAAUAUUUAAAAGAUGGCUGAGCGGAGAGUGCAGCACCUUUAACGGCAGUCGCUUUUUGAUCAAUCAAAAGGCAGUAUCGUCGACACGCAAGUAUCUAUUUUUUGCAAAUCCAACGGUGGAAGCGGAUCUGGUGGUCUACAAACGGGUUGCAAGCGAAUUGAUACCACCACGAUGACAGGCGGAAUUCGUCAGUUUUUUCAAUGUGUAGCAAGUGUUUUUUUCGUGGUUGAAUAAAUGUUUAAAUGUAAUUGCCUGUUGGUUUCAUUUCAAUUUCUCUACUAUAAUUGAAAAAAAAAAUCAUAUUAGAACAGUGAAAAAGAACCUAAAAUAAAUGUCUUUCCUAUCUAAA